UACGAAGGGGGCUAGCGUUGCUCGGAAUCACUGGGCGUAAAGCGCACGUAGGCGGAUUGUUAAGUCAGGGGUGAAAUCCUGGAGCUCAACUCCAGAACUGCCUUUGAUACUGGCGAUCUUGAGUCCGGGAGAGGUGAGUGGAACUGCGAGUGUAGAGGUGAAAUUCGUAGAUAUUCGCAAGAACACCAGUGGCGAAGGCGGCUCACUGGCCCGGUACUGACGCUGAGGUGCGAAAGCGUGUGGAGCAAACAGG
rnacentral:rRNA from 1 species